UCCUAUGGAUGUGCAAAGAAAGUGGUUUCUUGAGAUGGAAUCCACUCCUAGUGAAGAUGCUGUGAA
rnacentral:pre_miRNA from 1 species